GACUACGGCCAUGCCACCCUGAACAAGCCCAAUACCCUCUGAUCUCGGAAGCUAAGCAGGGUCAGGCCUGGUUGGUACUUGGAUGGGAGACCAUCUAGGAAGACCAAGUGCUAUAGGUG
rnacentral:rRNA from 1 species